AAACCAACAGGGAUUGCCUUAGUAACGGCGAGUGAAGCGGCAAAAGCUCAAAUUUGAAAUCUAGCACUUUCAGUGUUCGAGUUGUAAUUUGAAGAAGGUAUCUUUGGAGUUGGCCCCCGUCUAUGUUCCUUGGAACAGGACGUCACAGAGGGUGAGAAUCCCCUGCGAUGGGGAGACCAAUUCUAUGUAAAGUUCCUUCGAAGAGUCGAGUUGUUUGGGAAUGCAGCUCUAAGUGGGUGGUAAAUUCCAUUUAAAGCUAAAUAUUGGCGAGAGACCGAUAGCGAACAAGUACAGUGAUGGAAAGAUGAAAAGAACUUUGAAAAGAGAGUGAAAAAGUACGUGAAAUUGUUGAAAGGGAAGGACUUUUGAUCAGACUUGGUGUUUAGUACUCUCUACUCCUUGUGGGUGGGGCUCUUGCUUUAUACUGGGCCAGCAUCGGUUUGGGUGGCAGGAUAAUGGCAUUGGAAUGUGGCUUCAUUCGUGGAGUGUUAUAGCCUUUGUUGAUACUGCCUAUCUAGACCGAGGACUGCGUCUUUUGACUAGGAUGCUGGCGUAAUGAUUAAAAGUCGC
rnacentral:rRNA from 1 species